rnacentral:rRNA from 1 species
CCUACGGGAGGCAGCAGUGGGGAAUAUUGCACAAUGGAGGAAACUCUGAUGCAGCGACGCCGCGUGAGUGAAGAAGGACUUCGGUAUGUAAAGCUCUAUCAGCAGGGAAGAAAUAAAGGCCAUCGGACUUUGGACGGUACCUGACUAAGAAGCACCGGCGAACUACGUGCCAGCAGCAGCGGUAAUACGUAGGGGGCAAGGGUUAUCCGGAUUUACUGGGUGUAAAGGGAGGGUAGACGGGAGGGCAAGUCUGGAGUGAAAUCCCAUGGCUUAACAAUGGAACUGCUUUUGAAACUGUGCAGCUGGAGUGCAGUAGAGGUAGGCGGAAUUCCUGGUGUAGCGGUGAAAUGCGUAGAUAUUAGGAGGAACACCAGUGGCGAAGGCGGCUUACUGGACUGUAACUGACGUUGAGGCUCGAAAGCGUGGGGAGCAAACAGGAUUAGAUACCCGAGUAGUC